GAGGUGGACAAAGUCAACCUGGGCCAAUGAUCCACUGGUGUGCAUGAGAACUGCCACUGGGAGGAGAUUCGAUGGAGGAGCUUGGGAAACUCCUCCAUUGGGAUGCAGUCUCUGCAGCUUCCAGCCCCUGGCUUCCAACUUACGUCCCACCAAGGCAGACCCUGAGAAGCUGCAGUGAUGGUUCAAGUAAUUGGAUUCCUGCCACUCCUAUGGCAGACUAAGAGUGCUUCCUGGCUCCUGGCCCCAGCCCCAGAACCCGCCCUGGCCUGAGCACAGCCCUUUCUGUAUACGGUCCCUUGUUUCAAUUUGUGCCAGCUCUGAAGGACCAUCCCAGUCCCAGAGUGCCUAUGGAAUCAGCAAAGUGCAACGUAAUUUAGCUCUUCUUUUCUCCAGUCUCUCUGGCCACCUGCCCAAGUCUUCCCCCGGUGAAGCUGCUGCAGGGGAGGGGAGUGUUUCCGCCUCUUUGCCCCUUGCCCAUCGCUCUCUGUCCUUUAACAAUCCACCCAUCUGCUUUCUCAGCGUGUUUCUACUUUCUGGUUCCCAGUGUUAUUUGCCUCUGUCCCUUUCUUUAUCUGUGCUUGCUGCUCUAGUCUCUUGGUCUCGUUUACUUCCUGUUAUCCCUUAUUCCUUUCCUGCUCCCUCCUGGAAGCUCCCCAAACUACCCUCCACCCCUGUCUUUCAGUU